AGCUUUGAAGACUUCCUGUAUACUUUUAAGCUGCCCAUGACAUCAUUCCAAGUUCAAUAAAUUAGCAGCCAAAAAUUUUAAUCAGAUAUUUAAUCUUUCCUCCCUGUAAGGGAGAUUGAGUGUUUAUGGUGGCUGGAGGCCAGGUUAAUCUCAGAGAAAGAUUACUUGCUGUAUCUUUGGUGCUGGGAAGCCCUGAAGAAA
rnacentral:lncRNA from 1 species